rnacentral:rRNA from 1 species
AGCGAAUCUUUAGGAGCUUGCUCCUGAAGGUUAGCSGCGGACGGGUGAGUAACACGUGGGCAACCUGCCUAUAAGACUGGGAUAACUUCGGGAAACCGGAGCUAAUACCGGAUAAUCCUUUUCCUCUCAUGAGGGAAAGCUGAAAGACGGUUUCGGCUGUCACUUAUAGAUGGGCCCGCGGCGCAUUAGCUAGUUGGUGAGGUAACGGCUCACCAAGGCGACGAUGCGUAGCCGACCUGAGAGGGUGAUCGGCCACACUGGGGCUGAGACACGGCCCAGACUCCUACGGGAGGCAGCAGUAGGGAAUCUUCCGCAAUGGACGAAAGUCUGACCGAGCAACGCCGCGUGAGCGAUGAAGGCCUUCCGGUCGUAAAGCUCUGUUGUUAGGGAAGAACAAGUAUCGGAGUAACUGCCGGUACCUUGACGGGACCUAACCAGAAAGCCACGGCUAACUACGUGCCAGCAGCCGCGGUGAUACGUAGGUGGCAAGCGUUGUCCGGAAUUAUUGGGCGUAAAGCGCGCGCAAGCGGUCCUUUAAGUCUGAUGUGAAAGCCCACAGGUCAAACGUGGAGGGUCAUUGGAAACUGGGGAGACUUGAGCACCGAAAAAGGAAAGUGGAAUUCCAC